AUUGAACGCUGGCGGCAGGCUUAACACAUGCAAGUCGAGCGGAGAUGAGGUGCUUGCACCUUAUCUUAGCGGCGGACGGGUGAGUAAUGCUUAGGAAUCUGCCUAUUAGUGGGGGACAACAUUCCGAAAGGAAUGCUAAAACCGCAUACGUCCUACGGGAGAAAGCAGGGGAUCUUCGGACCUUGCGCUAAUAGAUGAGCCUAAGUCGGAUUAGCUAGUUGGUGGGGUAAAGGCCUACCAAGGCGACGAUCUGGAGCGGGUCUGAGAGGAUGAUCCGCCACACUGGGACUGGGACACGGCCCAGACUCCUACGGGAGGCAGCAGUGGGGAAUAUUGGGCAAUGGGGGGAACCCUGAUCCAGCCAUGCCGCGUGUGUGAAGAAGGCCUUAUGGUUGUAAAGCACUUUAAGCGAGGAGGAGGCUACUGAGACUAAUACUCUUGGAUAGUGGACGUUACUCGCAGAAUAAGCACCGGCUAACUCUGUGCCAGCCGCCGCGGUAAAAC
rnacentral:rRNA from 1 species